AAGAUUUCACGGUGUAACCAUGAUUGCUUCAGGAGCUUCGCCCAAGCUCUUCAUCAUUGACCCGUGGAUAUGCUGUGAAUUUUUUUCUUGGUGCUACAACAAGAGUUGUAAAGCUGACACACAAGCACUACUCCGUAAGUAACCUGCAGCAAUUCCAGAGACUAAGUUAACCAAAAGUUGUGGUUGCUUCACGUGCUAUAUUUAUGCACACUCCCACAGAUCUCUGCACGCCUAAUGCUCUAGCUUUUGUUAUCUCAUAGAAGCGAGAGGCAAUUCUGUGGGAUUACUCCUAUUUGCAUUGUUCAUCAUGCCAGCAUUGUGAAAGCCAGCGUUUUCUGCUAUCAAGUGAUGUUCGUAUUUGCUUGUGUACAUUUGACACCAUGCUCAUUAAUUUAGUUAUUAGUGUGAAAAUGUUCACCGCAAUACACACUGCUUGU
rnacentral:lncRNA from 1 species